UAUGUUUAUUAAAGAAAAUGAAAGGUUCGUCGAAGUUCCGGUCAGGAAGAAGAAGAAUUUAAUAGUUGAAAAACGUGAAUAUACAAAAUCGACGUUUCGGCCGGGCCCUGCCGACCAUCCUCAGGAAAUAAAAU